AUACGGAGGGUGCAAGCGUUAAUCGGAAUUACUGGGCGUAAAGCGUACGUAGGCGGUCCGUUACGUUAGAUGUGAAAGCCCCGGGCUUAACCUGGGAACUGCAUUUAAAACUGGCGGACUAGAGUUGAGUAGAGGGGAGUGGAAUUUCAGGUGUAGCGGUGAAAUGCGUAGAGAUCUGAAGGAACACCAGUGGCGAAGGCGACUCCCUGGACUCGAACUGACGCUGAGGUACGAAAGCGUGGGUAGCAAACGGGAUUAGAUACCCUAGUAGUCC
rnacentral:rRNA from 1 species